rnacentral:rRNA from 1 species
ACCUUCCGUACACUCAGGGAUAGCCUUUCGAAAGAAAGAUUAAUACCUGAUGGUAUGAUGAGAUUGCAUGAUAGCAUCAUUAAAGAUUCAUCGGUGUACGAUGGGGAUGCGUUCCAUUAGGUAGUAGGCGGGGUAACGGCCCACCUAGCCUACGAUGGAUAGGGGUUCUGAGAGGAAGGUCCCCCACAUUGGAACUGAGACACGGUCCAAACUCCUACGGGAGGCAGCAGUGAGGAAUAUUGGUCAAUGGACGAGAGUCUGAACCAGCCAAGUAGCGUGAAGGAUGAAGGUCCUACGGAUUGUAAACUUCUUUUAUAAGGGAAUAAAACCUCCCACGUGUGGGAGCUUGUAUGUACCUUAUGAAUAAGCAUCGGCUAACUCCGUGCCAGCAGCCGCGGUAAUACGGAGGAUGCGAGCGUUAUCCGGAUUUAUUGGGUUUAAAGGGAGCGCAGACGGGUCGUUAAGUCAGCUGUGAAAGUUUGGGGCUCAACCUUAAAAUUGCAGUUGAUACUGGCGUCCUUGAGUGCGGUUGAGGUGUGCGGAACUCGUGGUGUAGCGGUGAAAUGCUUAGAUAUCACGAAGAACUCCGAUUGCGAAGGCAGCACACUA